rnacentral:ncRNA from 1 species
CAAAGGUAUGGUCCCUACCUUACUAUCAGCUCUAGCUCAACUUACACAUGCAAGUCUCCGCAGCCCAGUGAAUACGCCCUCGACACCCGUUCGGCAGAUGAGGAGCAGACAUCAGGCACAAGUAUUAGCCCAAGACGUCCAGCUAAGGCCACACCCCCAAGGGUAUUCAGCAGUGAUAGACAUUUAGCCAUAAGUGAAAACUUGACUCAAUUAAAGCUAAGAGAGCCGGUAAAACUCGUGCCAGCUACCGCGGUUAAACGAGAGGCCCCAGUUGAUAGCACGCGGCGUAAAGAGUGGUUAGGGAUAAAGAACUUUUUUAAAGCCAAAUGGCCCCUUAGCUGUCAUAAGCUUUUAGAUGUCCGAAACCCAGUAACACGAAAGUAGCUUUAACACAACAACCCGACCCCACGAAAGCUAAGAAACAAACUGGGAUUAGAUACCCCACUAUGCUUAGCCGUAAACUUAAACAUCAGUAUACAAUAAAAUGUUCGCCAGGGAACUACAAGCACCAGCUUAAAACCCAAAGGACCUGACGGUGUCUCAGUUCCACCUAGAGGAGCCUGUUCUAGAACCGAUAAUCCCCGUUAAACCUUACCACUUCUAGUCAUCCCAGUAUAUAUACCGCCGUCGCAAGCUCACCCUGUGAAGGAUAUAAAGUAAGCAAAAUGAGUACAACCCAGAACGACAGGUCGAGGUGUAGCGUAUGAGGUGGAAAGAAAUGGGCUACAUUUUCUACUACAGAAUAUUAACGAAUAUGCAUAAUGAAACAAUGCUUGAAGGAGGAUUUAGCAGUAAAUAGGAAAUAGAGUGUCCAAUUGAAUCUGGCUCUGAGACGCGUACACACCGCCCGUCACCCUCCCCAAUAUUACGCACAAAGAUACUUAAUACAAUAGCACAUACAUAAGGGGAGAUAAGUCGUAACAUGGUAAGUGUACUGGAAAGUGCACUUGGAUUAAACC